rnacentral:rRNA from 1 species
GAGCGGAAACGAUGGUAGCUUGCUACCAGGCGUCGAGCGGCGGACGGGUGAGUAACGCGUGAGAAUCUGCCCAUUUGUGGGGGAUAACUCGGGGAAACUCGAGCUAAUACCGCAUAAUCCCUACGGGGGAAAGCAGGGGACCUUCGGGCCUUGUGCAGAUGGAUGAGCUCGCGUCGGAUUAGCUUGUUGGUGAGGUAAAGGCUCACCAAGGCGACGAUCCGUAGCUGGUCAGAGAGGAUGAUCAGCCACACCGGGACUGAGACACGGCCCGGACUCCUAUGGGAGGCAGCAGUGGGGAAUCUUGGACAAUGGGGGCAACCCUGAUCCAGCCAUGCCGCGUGUGUGAAGAAGGCCUUCGGGUUGUAAAGCACUUUCAGUAGGGAGGAAGGCUUACCGCUAAUAACGGUGAGUACUUGACGUUACCUACAGAAGAAGCACCGGCUAAUUUCGUGCCAGCAGCCGCGGUAAUACGAAAGGUGCGAGCGUUAAUCGGAAUUACUGGGCGUAAAGCGCGCGUAGGCGGUUUGUUAAGUCAGAUGUGAAAGCCCCGGGCUCAACCUGGGAAUUGCAUUUGAAACUGGCAGGCUAGAGUGCAGUAGAGGGAGGUGGAAUUUCCGGUGUAGCGGUGAAAUGCGUAGAGAUCGGAAGGAACACCAGUGGCGAAGGCGGCCUCCUGGACUGACACUGACGCUGAGGUGCGAAAGCGUGGGGAGCAAACAGGAUUAGAUACCCUGGUAGUCCACGCCGUAAACGAUGUCUACUAGUCGUUGGGAAUCUUAGUAUUCUUGGUGACGAAGUUAACGCGAUAAGUAGACCGCCUGGGGAGUACGGCCGCAAGGUUAAAACUCAAAUGAAUUGACGGGGGCCCGCACAAGCGGUGGAGCAUGUGGUUUAAUUCGAUGCACGCGAAGAAUCUUACCAGGCCUUGACAUCCUUGGACUUUCUAGAGAUAGAUUGUGCUUCGGAGCAGUGACAGUGCUGCAUGCUGUCGUCAGCUCGUGUCGUGAGAUGUGGGUAGUCCGUACGAGCGCAUCAUUGUCCUAGCUGCAGCACUCGGUGACUCUAGGAGACUGCGGUGACAACGGAGGAGGUGGGACGACGUCAGUCAUCAUGCUACGCUGCUUACCACGGCUAAUGCAAACAAGGCCGAUUCCAGGCACAAUCCUUAACGUUCGAUCGGAUUGAUGCACUAUCUUGAUCGGAAGCUGAAUCGAACAAAUACCAGGAGAAAUUCUC